rnacentral:rRNA from 1 species
CCUACGGGUGGCAGCAGUGAGGAAUAUUGGUCAAUGGACGAGAGUCUGAACCAGCCAAGUAGCGUGAAGGAUGACUGCCCUAUGGGUUGUAAACUUCUUUUAUAAAGGAAUAAAACGAGGCACGUGUGCCUUUUUGCAUGUACUUUAUGAAUAAGGAUCGGCUAACUCCGUGCCAGCAGCCGCGGUAAUACGGAGGAUCCGAGCGUUAUCCGGAUUUAUUGGGUUUAAAGGGAGCGUAGAUGGGUUGUUAAGUCAGUUGUGAAAGUUUGCGGCUCAACCGUAAAAUUGCAAUUGAUACUGGCAGUCGUGAGUACAGUUGAGGUAGGCGGAAUUCGUGGUGUAGCGGUGAAAUGCUUAGAUAUCACGAAGAACCCCGAUUGCGAAGGCAGCUUACUAAACUGUGACUGACAUUGAUGCUCCAAAGUGUGGGUAUCAAACAGGAUUAGAUACCCCUGUAGUC